CCUUACACUUCAACAAAGGGAGUGAUAUUUCUGCCUUACAGUGCCUCCAGCUAGACAUAACAGGCUGUAUCUACACAAANGCAUCUCUGUGGAAAAGGGGCAGAUUUGCCCGAAAUGGCUCCAUUUCACAUAACCUGAAACUGUGAAUGGAGGGCCCGAGAUGAUGUCCCGUCACAUUUUUCUUACCUCCUGUUUUGCCUGCCUCUUUGGUGGAAGAAGAUUGGAAAAAUGGCUCCAGGCAAAGCAUCUGCCUGUCGAAAUGGGACAAAAGCCAUCAAUGGCUAGCUCUGGGCGUGGAGAAGAAGCACCAUUUGGAAGGGCUUUUCAAAGGCUUGUAACACCUCAAACUGUGAACCAGUGUAAGGCUUAAAC
rnacentral:lncRNA from 1 species